rnacentral:rRNA from 1 species
GAGGCAGCAGUGGGGAAUAUUGCGCAAUGGGCGAAAGCCUGACGCAGCAACGCCGCGUGAGGGAUGACGGCCUUCGGGUUGUAAACCUCUUUCAGCAGGGACGAAGCGAGAGUGACGGUACCUGCAGAAGAAGGACCGGCCAACUACGUGCCAGCAGCCGCGGUAAUACGUAGGGUCCGAGCGUUGUCCGGAAUUAUUGGGCGUAAAGGGCUCGUAGGCGGUUCGUCACGUCGGGAGUGAAAACUCGGAGCUUAACUCCGAGCCUGCUUCCGAUACGGGCAGACUAGAGGUAGGCAGGGGAGAGCGGAACUCCUGGUGUAGCGGUGGAAUGCGCAGAUAUCAGGAAGAACACCGGUGGCGAAGGCGGCUCUCUGGGCCUUACCUGACGCUGAGGAGCGAAAGCGUGGGUAGCGAACAGGAUUAGAUACCCUGGUAGUCCACGCCGUAAACGUUGGGCGCUAGGUGUGGGGGACAUUCCACGUCCUCCGUGCCGCAGCUAACGCAUUAAGCGCCCCGCCUGGAGUACGGCCGCAG